rnacentral:rRNA from 1 species
UGCGUAGGCGGACUAAUAAGUCAGUGGUGAAAUCUUUCGGCUCAACCGAGAAACUGCCAUUGAUACUGUUAGUCUUGAGUUCGGUUGAGGUAGGCGGAAUGUGUAAUGUAGCGGUGAAAUGCUUAGAUGUUACACAGAACACCAAUUGCGUAGGCAGCUUACUAGACCGACACUGACGCUGAGGCACGAAAGCGUGGGGAGCGAACAGGAUUAGAUACCCUGGUAGUCC